GGCUCAGAUUGAACGCUGGCGGCAGGCCUAACACAUGCAAGUCGAGCGGUAGCACAGAGAGCUUGCUCUCGGGUGACGAGCGGCGGACGGGUGAGUAAUGUCUGGGAAACUGCCUGAUGGAGGGGGAUAACUACUGGAAACGGUAGCUAAUACCGCAUAACGUCGCAAGACCAAAGUGGGGGACCUUCGGGCCUCAUGCCAUCAGAUGUGCCCAGAUGGGAUUAGCUAGUAGGUGGGGUAACGGCUCACCUAGGCGACGAUCCCUAGCUGGUCUGAGAGGAUGACCAGCCACACUGGAACUGAGACACGGUCCAGACUCCUACGGGAGGCAGCAGUGGGGAAUAUUGCACAAUGGGCGCAAGCCUGAUGCAGCCAUGCCGCGUGUGUGAAGAAGGCCUUCGGGUUGUAAAGCACUUUCAGCGGGGAGGAAGGCGUUAAGGUUAAUAACCUUGGCGAUUGACGUUACCCGCAGAAGAAGCACCGGCUAACUCCGUGCCAGCAGCCGCGGUAAUACGGAGGGUGCAAGCGUUAAUCGGAAUUACUGGGCGUAAAGCGCACGCAGGCGGUCUGUCAAGUCGGAUGUGAAAUCCCCGGGCUCAACCUGGGAACUGCAUUCGAAACUGGCAGGCUAGAGUCUUGUAGAGGGGGGUAGAAUUCCAGGUGUAGCGGUGAAAUGCGUAGAGAUCUGGAGGAAUACCGGUGGCGAAGGCGGCCCCCUGGACAAAGACUGACGCUCAGGUGCGAAAGCGUGGGGAGCAAACAGGAUUAGAUACCCUGGUAGUCCACGCCGUAAACGAUGUCGAUUUGGAGGUUGUGCCCUUGAGGCGUGGCUUCCGGAGCUAACGCGUUAAAUCGACCGCCUGGGGAGUACGGCCGCAAGGUUAAAACUCAAAUGAAUUGACGGGGGCCCGCACAAGCGGUGGAGCAUGUGGUUUAAUUCGAUGCAACGCGAAGAACCUUACCUGGUCUUGACAUCCACAGAACUUUCCAGAGAUGGAUUGGUGCCUUCGGGAACUGUGAGACAGGUGCUGCAUGGCUGUCGUCAGCUCGUGUUGUGAAAUGUUGGGUUAAGUCCCGCAACGAGCGCAACCCUUAUCCUUUGUUGCCAGCGGUUCGGCCGGGAACUCAAAGGAGACUGCCAGUGAUAAACUGGAGGAAGGUGGGGAUGACGUCAAGUCAUCAUGGCCCUUACGACCAGGGCUACACACGUGCUACAAUGGCAUAUACAAAGAGAAGCGACCUCGCGAGAGCAAGCGGACCUCAUAAAGUAUGUCGUAGUCCGGAUUGGAGUCUGCAACUCGACUCCAUGAAGUCGGAAUCGCUAGUAAUCGUAGAUCAGAAUGCUACGGUGAAUACGUUCCCGGGCCUUGUACACACCGCCCGUCACACCAUGGGAGUGGGUUGCAAAAGAAGUAGGUAGCUUAACCUUCGGGAGGGCGCUUACCACUUUGUGAUUCAUG
rnacentral:rRNA from 1 species